rnacentral:rRNA from 1 species
UACGAAGGGAGCUAGCGUUGUCCGGAUUUAUUGGGCGUAAAGAGCUCGUAGGCGGCUCGUUGCGUCAGCUGUGAAAACCCGCAGCUUAACUGUGGGCUUGCAGCUGAUACGGGCGAGCUGGAGUUCGGUAGGGGAGACUGGAAUUCCUGGUGUAGCGGUGAAAUGCGUAAAUAUCUGGAGGAACACCGGUGGCGAAGGCGGCAUCCUGGACCGGCAUUGACGCUCAUGCACGAAAGCGUGGGGAGCAAACAGG